GAUGAACGCUGGCGGCGUGCCUAAUACAUGCGAGUCGAGCGAACAGAUGAGGAGCUUGCUCCUCUGACGUUAGCGGCGGACGGGUGAGUAACACGUGGAUAACCUACCUAUAAGACUGGGAUAACUUCGGGAAACCGGAGCUAAUACCGGAUAAUAUAUUGAACCGCAUGGUUCAAUAGUGAAAGACGGUUUUGCUGUCACUUAUAGAUGGAUCCGCGCCGCAUUAGCUAGUUGGUAAGGUAACGGCUUACCAAGGCAACGAUGCGUAGCCGACCUGAGAGGGUGAUCGGCCACACUGGAACUGAGACACGGUCCAGACUCCUACGGGAGGCAGCAGUAGGGAAUCUUCCGCAAUGGGCGAAAGCCUGACGGAGCAACGCCGCGUGAGUGAUGAAGGUCUUCGGAUCGUAAAACUCUGUUAUUAGGGAAGAACAAAUGUGUAAGUAACUAUGCACGUCUUGACGGUACCUAAUCAGAAAGCCAUGGCUAACUACGUG
rnacentral:rRNA from 1 species